AUUCAGCUGACGAGUCCCAAAUAGGACGAAACGCCCGUCAAACUGGAU
rnacentral:hammerhead_ribozyme from 1 species